rnacentral:rRNA from 1 species
GACGAACGCUGGCGGCGUGCUUAACACAUGCAAGUCGAACGGAAAGGCCCUGCUUUUGUGGGUUUCUCGAUUGGCGAACGGGUGAGUAACACGUGAGUAACCUGCCCUUGACUUUCUGGUAACUUCAGGAAACUGGGGCUAAUACCGGAUAGGAUCUCCUGCUGCAUGGUGGGGGUUGGAAAGUUUCGGCGGUUGGGGAUGGACUCGCUGCUUAUCAGCUUGUUGGUGGGGUAGGGGCUUACCAAGGGUUUGACGGGUAGCCGGCAUGAGAGGGUGAACGGCGACAUUGGGCCUGCGAGACGGACCAGACGCCUAUGUGAGGCAGUAGUGGGGAAUAUUGCAGAAUGGCGGGACGCCUGAGGCAGCAACGCCGCGUGCGUGAUGCCGGCCUUCGGGUUAUAAACAGCUUUCGACUGUGACGAAGAGUGAGUGACGGUAAUGGGUAAAGAAGCAACGGCUAACUACGUG